CAUCAUUUGCUGCAUUUGUCUCAGUAAGUCCCACUCUCGCAAAUUGUUGUAACAAUCUAAGCUUACUUCGUUUCUUCCUGUUCUUUGUCCAGAGCACUGCGUAGAGCCAUCCAAACUGGACCGCAGCCAUACCUUUUGCGUGCAGUGUAUCCUGAAGGUAAAAAUCUCUCUUUUCUCUCUUGACUUUAAACUUUGCUCAUUGUUCUCUUCAUUUUCUCCAGGUUAUCAAAGGAUGAAUGUCCAAUCUGUUGACAACACAUAGACAGCCAAGUAUACAAAAUCUUACAAAACAGGGAUUUACAGUCCUAGCUCUCCCCGACAGCACUAAGUCACAGAAUCCCGCAACACAUAUGGUAGGAAGAACAGCAACAAAACAGCGAAAAGAAGAAAAUUUACCAACACCACAACACA
rnacentral:lncRNA from 1 species